rnacentral:misc_RNA from 1 species
AACCUUAUGGACCUGCGGGCGUAUACCUGCGGAAGGAUCAUUACAACAAGGUUCCCUGGCCCUCGAAGCUUCGGCGGAGGGGCGCUACAGCCUGACUUUAUACCCACCCUUUGCCUAUGUGUACCCCUAUUGCUUCCCUCGGCGGGCUCGCCCGCCGACAGGAACCAACUAAACCCUUUGCAUUAUACAUUUAACACUUCCGAUACAAAACCAAAUUAUUACAACUUUUAACAACGGAUC